rnacentral:rRNA from 1 species
UAAACCGUGGCUCAGUUCAGAUCGUAGGCUGCAACUCGCCUACGUGAAGGAGGAAUCGCUAGUAAUCGCAGGUCAGCAUACUGCGGUGAAUACGUUCCCGGGCCUUGUACACACCGCCCGUCACACCAUGGAAGUUGGCCACGCCCGAAGUCGUUACUCCAACCCUUGUGGAGGAGGACGCCGAAGGUGGGGCUGAUGACUGGGGUGAAGUCGUAACAAGGUAUCCGUACCGGAAGGUGCGGAUGGAUCACCUCCUAACA